CUAGAGUAGUUGUACUCCGUGGACGUCACGGACGAACGCUGGCGGCGCGCCUAACACAUGCAAGUCGAACGGAGACAAUUAGGAGCUUUGCUUUUGAUUGUCUUAGUGGCGGACGGGUGAGUAACACUGAGCAACCUGCCUUUCAGAGGGGGAUAACGUUUGGAAACGAACGCUAAUACCGCAUGACAUAUCGGUACCGCAUGGCACUGAUAUCAAAGGAGCAAUCCGCUGAAAGAUGGGCUCGCGUCCGGAUUAGCUAGAUGGCGGGGUAACGGCCCACCAUGGCGACGAUCGGUAGCCGGACUGAGAGGUUGAUCGGCCACAUUGGGACUGAGACACGGCCCAGACUCCUACGGGAGGCAGCAGUGGGGGAUAUUGCACGAUGGGGGAAACCCUGAUGCAGCGACGCCGCGUGAGGGAAGAAGGUUUUCGGAUUGUAAACCUCUGUCCUCAGUGACGAUAAUGACGGUAGCUGAGGAGGAAGCCACGGCUAACUACGUG
rnacentral:rRNA from 1 species